rnacentral:rRNA from 1 species
GAGUUUGAUCAUGGCUCAGAUUGAACGCUGGCGGCAGGCCUAACACAUGCAAGUCGGGCGGUAGAGAGAAGCUUGCUUCUCUUGAGAGCGGCGGACGGGUGAGUAAUGCCUAGGAAUCUGCCUGGUAGUGGGGGAUAACGCUCGGAAACGGACGCUAAUACCGCAUACGUCCUACGGGAGAAAGCAGGGGACCUUCGGGCCUUGCGCUAUCAGAUGAGCCUAGGUCGGAUUAGCUAGUUGGUGAGGUAAUGGCUCACCAAGGCGACGAUCCGUAACUGGUCUGAGAGGAUGAUCAGUCACACUGGAACUGAGACACGGUCCAGACUCCUACGGGAGGCAGCAGUGGGGAAUAUUGGACAAUGGGCGAAAGCCUGAUCCAGCCAUGCCGCGUGUGUGAAGAAGGUCUUACGGAUUGUAAAG